CCAAUAGCGUAUAUUAAAGUUGUUGCAGUUAAAAAGCUCGUAGUUGAAUUUCGGGGUCAGUAGGUUGGUCAUGCCACCGGUAUGUACUGGUCUCACUGAUUCCUCCUUCCUGAUGAGCCGUAAUGCCAUUAAUUUGGUGUUGCGAGGAAUCUGGACUGUUACUUUGAAAAAAUUAGAGUGUUUAAAGCAGGCUAACGCUU
rnacentral:rRNA from 1 species